CUAAGGGCGUUUGUUGGGCCAAGCCCUUGUUUCGUCCCAGCCAGGCCACUCAGGCGAAAGCAUCCUGGGAAUUCGGCCUGCCAACACAAAGAGCAUUUCCUUGUGUGGGUUUCCUGUUUAGGUCUGCGUAGAAACCCGGCGGAUCGCGUGGCCUCGUAAAUCCCCCAGACAUUACUGAUGUAGAUGCUUUGGCCGGCUGCCAUGGGAAAAUCGCACACAAAUAGAAGAAGGGCGGGGGGAGCACAUUCACUCUCGAAUUCUGGUGGGUUCCGGGCUCCGUGUGUUUGGAUCUGUAAAUGGAGGGGGUUGGGCUCGCCACGAUGAUCAUUUAAGGUCCCUUCCAGCUUGGACUUUCUCAGAUUCCACUUCCCUCCGGAGGGCCGCCCGGAGCUCUCCCUGUCCGGCUCAGGGACGGGGGUCUGCGGAAACAGAAGCAGGGGGAAGAUCUCCGGCUGAAAAUCCGGAAGCUUCUCCAGCAUAUCCUAGGGGCUCCUUCACAGAAAGAAGUUUCUGCAUCUGUCCAAUGGGCAUUCAGACUCGUUGGCUUAAUGGAAGAAGCCGUGUUUGCAUUCCUCUUCUGAGGCCGAACCCCCAGAUGCUCUGGCAGAUUCCACGUGGAGUCUGAGCAGACAUGAGUACGGCUGGGAAAGGGACGGGGCAGGCACAGGAUUUCUGCCCGAAGGUUCUCCUGUCCACCGAGCUGUGUUCCAGUGAGGAUGUCCUGCUUUUCUCGUACUUCUAUGAGAUCGCUCGCUUAGAAUGCAGCGUGGCUCUGGUCUUCGGGCUCUCGGGCAUGAAUUGUGACGCUUGUCUGUAAACCUCGUUCCCUUGGACACGUCCUUACAGGAGCUGAUAAUGAAUGAAGGAAUCAGUGUUUCACGGGACACAUUUUGGGAAAUGCUCCGUUCAGCCAAAAGAGUGUCCGGACCCUUGCACAGUUUCCAUUGCUGAUGGGACCUUCUGAGCACUGUCAACAUACCCACAGAGAAGGGGUUUCCAACUCACGUGAUCACACUCUCCAGUCAGAUGUGGAACAAGAAAAUACUUCUCAGAAAUGCAAAGAAGAAAACAAACCAAGUUCAUUGCCUUGGGUAACAUGAGUUCUUGCCCAUUUGAAAGUGGGAUCUUAAUCUUCCUAGAAGAUCUCUUUCUAGAUUUCUUCUAGAAAGAGAGGACACGCCAUACCUUAGACGGUGUAGUUACGGGCAGGUGCUCUAUCACCUGGUACUGAGUCCCACUGCCAUCUACAAGAUUUAACAAUCAGUUGUAAGAACAUCUAACGUGAAGAAAUGUUUAAGAACUCAAGGGGUCUCUUGGGAUUGGAGGUCCAUCCAUUCCUGGAAAGGUUGAGAUAAGUCACAUGAUGCCUUUUCUGUAACCCCAACAUUUCUCCAAGGAAAUCUUUGAAGUAAAAAGUUCACAAAGGAGUAGACUGAGGACUGCAGCAGAGACAGUGGGGGGGGGGGGGAGGCGGGGGGAUGUUCCAUGGUUCCCUUCACUGUAGAGGCUGUUGGGAACAGGGGUUCAGUAAAGCAGACUGGAAUUUCCAGUAUCUGGUGCAUGGAUAAUGUUCUUUCACCUUUGGAUGUGUCCUUAGGUGACUGGACAGUGAGUAGAAGGUCUCAAAAAAGAGUCUGAUAUAGCAUCUGCCCUAGACCAGGAAGGAUGGGGCCAGGGCCCAGGAAACGGGUUUAGGCCCAGAGCGAACAUCUUUGUCCUCAGUUCUGUUAAAAGAUGGUGUCGGGGCGCCUGGGUGGCUCAGUCAGUUGGGCAUCUGACUUUGGUUCAGGUCAUGAUCUUGCAGUUUGUGAGUUUUGGCCCUGUGUUGGGCUCUGUGCUGACAGAUCAGAGCCUG